GUCUGGAUGUGACAGAGGCCUCGGUGUACUCAGGAGUUUGUACAGAGAUCUUCAAAAGAGAGUGUGUGAUCUUCCAGAAACCAGUCUACUGCUUUGUUCAUCUGAGCAUUCAGGAGUUUCUGGCUGCAAUCUACAUGUUCCACUGUUUCACCAGCAGGAAGGCAAAAGUGGUAGAAGGUUUUCUAGGGAAUAUCCGAGAAGAAUACAAAAACAGAUCUUUCAGGUCUUAUAGGAUGGAUGUCUUAUAUGGACCUUAUAUGGCUGUCUUAUUGACUAAAGCCAUGGAGAAAUCCCUCCAGAGUAAAAAUGGCCACCUGGACCUGUUUGUUCGCUUCCUUCAUGGCCUCUGUCUGGAGUCCAACCAGAGACUCUUAGGAGGUCUGCUGGGUCAGAUGGAGAUCCGGCCAGAAACCAUCCAGAGAGUCAUCAACAACCUGAAGGAGAUGAACAGUGAUGAAAUCUCUCCUGACAGAAGCAUCAACAUCUUCCACUGUCUGAUGGAGAUGAACCACCUCUCAUUAUUUCAGGAGAUCCAAGAGUUCCUGAAGUCAGAGAACAGAUCAGAGAAGAAACUCUCUGAGAUCCAGUGCUCAGCUCUGGCCUUCAUGCUGCAGAUGUCAGAGGAGGUUCUGGAUGAGUUGGACCUGCAGAAGUACAACACAUCAGAGCAGGGACGACAGAGACUGAUUCCAGCUGUGAGGAACUGCAGAAAGGCUCGACUGAGUCACUGUGACCUGUCAGAGAGAAGCUGUGAAGCUCUGGCCUUAGGUCUCAGGUCUCAGACCUCUAAUCUGAUAAAGCUGGACCUGAGUAACAACGACCUGAAUGAUUCAGGCGUGAAGCUUCUGUCUGAAGGACUGAAGAGUCCACACUGUACACUGGAAACUCUCAGGCUGCCCACUGGGAUUGGAAUUGAAACGAUGGGACGAGGCGCGACUUCUCUGAACGAACGCAGCAUGGUCAACAACUUGGAGAUGCUUACAGCUGCCGUGAAGACUCAACAUAACAGCAUUGAGCGAAUAUUGGGAUACAUCAAAGAGAGGCCUGCUCAGGAUGAUAACAUUGAGCGGAAGUUGGAUCACAUCGCAGAACGGAUCACUGCAGCUGUGGGGUCUCAGAAUCAAAAGAAUGACACCACCACGGAACGGAAGUUUGAUACCAUCAUGGGGAGGCUCGCGGCUAUCCAACGGGAGAUCGAGAGACCAGUGUCGGAGUGUUAAAAGAACAGCUUUGAAAUUCUCCUGAGCUGCUCGCAGAAAAGGAAAAUUAACGACAUCAACAUGCGGACACCAUGGCGCCAGCUGCGGGUCCAAGGCUGGUGCCGAACAAUUCCCUGAUAACGACUGUGUAUUGACUGUUCUUCCCACUCUAUGCAAGGCCACCUGGGUUG